rnacentral:rRNA from 1 species
CCCGCUGAACUUAAGCAUAUCAAUAAGCGGAGGAAAAGAAACUAACAAGGAUUCCCCUAGUAACUGCGAGUGAAGCGGGAAAAGCUCAAAUUUAAAAUCUGGCGGUCUCGCGGCCGUCCGAGUUGUAAUCUGGAGAAGCGUUUUCCGCGUCGGACCGUGUACAAGUCUUCUGGAACGGAGCGUCGUAGAGGGUGAGAAUCCCGUCUUUGGCACGGAUGCACCAGGGCUUCUGUGAUGCGCUCUCGAAGAGUCGAGUUGUUUGGGAAUGCAGCUCAAAAUGGGUGGUGAACUCCAUCUAAAGCUAAAUAUUGGCGAGAGACCGAUAGCGAACAAGUACCGUGAGGGAAAGAUGAAAAGCACUUUGGAAAGAGAGUUAAACAGUACGUGAAAUUGUUAAAAGGGAAACGAUUGAAGUCAGUCGCGUCUACUUGGACUCAGCCUUACCUCGGUUUGGUGCAUUUCCUUGUGGACGGGCCAGUGUCCAUGUUGAUUGCUGGAAAAGGUUCAGGGGAAUGUGGCUCUUUUAGAGUGUUAUAGCCUCUGUUCAUAUACAGUAGUUGAUAUGGAGUGAUACAGCAUGCUUCGGCGGUGCUUGUACUGGCAUAAUGGCUUUAAACGACCCGUCUUGAAACACGG